rnacentral:rRNA from 1 species
GACGAACGCUGGCGGCGCGCUUAACACAUGCAAGUCGAGCGAGAACCGGAGCUUCGGCUCCGGGGAAAGCGGCGAACGGGUGGGUAACACGUGAGUAAUCCACCCUCGGUACCGGGAUAGCCCGGGGAAACCCGGAUUAAUACCGGAUGGCCCGUCUGCCCUUCGGGGCGGCUGGAAAAGGUAGCUUCGGCCUCCGACCGAGGACGAGCUCGCGGCGGAUUAGUUUGUUGGCGGGGUAACGGCCCACCAAGGCGACGAUCCGUAGCUGGUCUGAGAGGACGAUCAGCCACACUGGGACUGAGACACGGCCCAGACUCCUACGGGAGGCAGCAGUGGGGAAUCUUGCGCAAUGGGCGAAAGCCUGACGCAGCGACGCCGCGUGCGGGAAGAAGGCCUUCGGGUUGUAAACCGCUUUCAGGAGGGACGAAGCCACUCGGGUUAAUAGCCCAGAGGGUGACGGUACCUCCAGAAGAAGCCCCGGCUAACUACGUGCCAGCAGCCGCCGUAACAC